rnacentral:rRNA from 1 species
CGAACGCUGGCGGCAUGCCUAAUACAUGCAAGUCGAACGAGACCUUCGGGUCUAGUGGCGCACGGGUGCGUAACGCGUGGGAAUCUGCCCUUCGGUUCGGAAUAACUCAGGGAAACUUGAGCUAAUACCGGAUGAUGACGUAAGUCCAAAGAUUUAUCGCCGAAGGAUGAGCCCGCGUAGGAUUAGCUAGUUGGUGGGGUAAAGGCCCACCAAGGCGACGAUCCUUAGCUGGUCUGAGAGGAUGAUCAGCCACACUGGGACUGAGACACGGUCCAGACUCCUACGGGAGGCAGCAGUAGGGAAUAUUGGACAAUGGGCGCAAGCCUGAUCCAGCAAUGCCGCGUGAGUGAUGAAGGCCUUAGGGUUGUAAAGCUCUUUUACCCGGGAUGAUAAUGACAGUACCGGGAGAAUAAGCUCCGGCUAACUCCGUGCCAGCAGCCGCGGUAAUACGGAGGGAGCUAGCGUCGUUCGGAAUUACUGGGCGUAAAGCGCACGUAGGCGGCGAUUCAAGUCAGAGGUGAAAGCCCGGGGCUCAACCCCGGAACUGCCUUUGAGACUGGAUUGCUUGAAUCCGGGAGAGGUGAGUGGAAUUCCGAGUGUAGAGGUGAAAUUCGUAGAUAUUCGGAAGAACACCAGUGGCGAAGGCGGCUCACUGGACCGGCAUUGACGCUGAGGUGCGAAAGCGUGGGGAGCAA